CUUCAAUCACGCCGGGUAAUCAUUGAAGCCAUAACAUUGUGUUAUGUGUUGAAAAUGCUCCAACGCGUCUUCCCUUAUAGUGCCAGUGAGUGGAAUAUGGAUGUAAACAAUGGGUGUCUUUAAAGGGAGAAAGAGGCGGGUUUAUUCAUGUCGAGAAAAAAAUCACUCCGUAGCUCAAAAUUUGCAAGAAAAGAUCUGAAGUGACUAUAAUAAACCAAGGAAGAUGUUUGAUACAGGCUAAACUGUCAUGUAAACUCUGGGAAUAAAAUAAAAUUACUUUGAAAACAUGAGACUUUGCAUUUCAAUUGAACAUUUAUUAUUGACUAGAAUGAAUGUCAAAAACAUUAGUAACAAAGAAACAGUACAUUAAAAUAAUAAAAGUAAUACUUUUUUCAAAGUGAAUAUGUCACAUCUCUGUAAUAUAUGUGUCCAAGACUGGAGAAAAGGAGCUUAUGGGCCUUCAAAAAGUAGACAUUAACCAGUUGUUGUUGUAACAAAACAGACAUCUUAACAGGCUCUACACUGUUUUGGAUCUCAUCAAAUCAAUACUAUGUUUGUUCUUAAUCACUGAAAAUUGUGUUGACUAAGAUCAGACGCCGCGUUUCCAAUGCGACGGCUGAUCUGAGUCAACACCGUUUUCAAUCCCAUAAGCCCCUUUUCUCCAGUCUUUGACACAUAUUACUCAAUAGAUACACAUUUUAUCAAAUGCGAGACCAAUGUACUACCAGAUCAGCCUGCGCAUCUGUCUGAUCAGGACCUCAAUUGUUCACUUUUCAGUCAGAAAUUCAUCAAUGAAAAUAGUUAGCGAACAUUGCAGGCUGAUCUGGAUCUACACUGGUCACACACAUGAUUAAAUGAGUAUUCAUGAAGUAUAAAUAGUUUACCAAAUGAGUUAACUUUUUCACUCCUAGGGCCACAUAUUUGCGCAACUAUUGGAACUGACAUUUGAAUACAUCAAUUUAUGAUAAAUAGAGCAUUUGCUCAUCAGGAGCAAAUGCUUUAUUUCCCAUAAUGUAUUCAAAACCUUUGAAAUCAAGCAAUACUUUGCCUAUGAGACUAUGUUUUAACCCUUGGCAUGUGAACAUAAAACAAUAAUAAUAUUAAUACCAUUGACUAGGAACAAAUGAUUAGACUUGUAUUACAACCCCUGGAAUGUUAACAUAAAACAUUGAAUGUGUAUUUAUGAAUGACUGAAGACUCAGAACUGGACACAUAAUAUAAAACAUAUGGGAGGCAAACAUCGUGGAAGCUGACCAGAUAUGAGUAUUAUAUGUAAGGUUUGGUGACUUAGAAACAUAUGUGUUAGCAACUGGAGAAAAUGGGACUGAAAACAGUGUUGACCCAGAUCAGCCGCCGCAUUGAAAAUGGGGCGGCUGGUCUUAGUCAAUAGUGUUUUUAGUAAUUAAUAACAAACGUAGUGUUGCUUAGACGUGUCGAGUCUGUUUAGACGCCUUCGUUGUUAAAGCAGCAGCUAGUCUGUGGCUACUUUUUGAAAGUUCAUAAGCCCCUUUUCUCCAGUCGUUGAUAUGCAUACAAUUUUCUGUACGGACAGCAAUCAGCGAAGACGCCAUUCUGUACCAGACAAAUCGGCCCCUUACCAAAUCGGCCCCUAGCUCAAACGGUUACCUU